AGCUCUUCUCUCCCCGCCUCUCAGCUGAUCGGCAGGUGGGCGGGGCUUACAGAGAGGCCUCCCUGUAGGCCUCCCUGAAGCCUGAACUCGGCAGGCCCCAAGGAAGCCAGAAAGAAGAAGGCAGGCAGUGUUCUCUGCAGCAGCAGACCCUCUGCCCAGAACAUCCAGCACAGCUUUUGCCAGUAAAAGAAAGUCACCGACCGACCCCACAAAAGCCAGGGAGAAUACAAUUUGUCAGACAACUUGCUUUAUUUGUAUGGGAAGUAUUGAGUUUCACCGAGUAAAGGGCUUGCAAACGUGAGUGGCAGAAAACAACAUGGUUAUGAGCAGUACCUGGACCCACACACAGAGAAAGCUUGGAAGCCGACAGUGUGCUCUGGCUUGCAUUCUUGAAUGCGUUUUUUCCUUAGUCAAACAGCAAUAAAGAUUCUGAAUGGAAGGAUGUGUACACAAAGAGCCCGGCUAAGUGGUGAAAGACGACGACUCCUAAAGCGGGCUUUUUCUCAUAAUAAACUCUGCACCAAUAUCUUUAUUGCUCAUCUCCUCCUUAAUGUUAUUAACAGUACAGCCUAAAAAAUGUUUCAAGAAAUCAAAUAAAGAGUGAGGUCUUUCGUUUCAGUGCA